rnacentral:rRNA from 1 species
ACUCCUACGGGAGGCAGCAGUGGGGGAAUAUUGCACAAUGGGGGGAAACCCCUGAUGCAGCCAUGCCGCGUGUGUGAAGAAGGCCUUCGGGUUGUAAAGCACUUUCAGUAGGGAGGAAGGUAGUGUAGUUAACACCUGCAUUAUUUGUACGUUACCUACAGAAGAACGCACCGGCUAACUCCGUGCCAGCAGCCGCGGUAAGUACGGAGGGUGCGAGCGUUAAUCGGAAUUACUGGGCGUAAAGCGCAUGCAGGCGGCCUGUUAAGUCAGAUGUGAAACGCCCGGGGUCUUAACCUCGGAAUUGCAUUUGAAACUGGCAGGCUAGAGUCUGUAGAGGGGUUAG